AGUGAACGCUGGCGGUAGGCCUAACACAUGCGAGUCGAACGGCAGCACAGUAAGAGCUUGCUCUUACGGGUGGCGAGUGGCGGACGGGUGAGGAAUACAUCGGAAUCUACUUUUUCGUGGGGGAUAACGUAGGGAAACUUACGCUAAUACCGCAUACGACCUACGGGUGAAAGCAGGGGAUCUUCGGACCUUGCGCGAUUGAAUGAGCCGAUGUCGGAUUAGCUAGUUGGCGGGGUAAAGGCCCACCAAGGCGACGAUCCGUAGCUGGUCUGAGAGGAUGAUCAGCCACACUGGAACUGAGACACGGUCCAGACUCCUACGGGAGGCAGCAGUGGGGAAUAUUGGACAAUGGGCGCAAGCCUGAUCCAGCCAUACCGCGUGGGUGAAGAAGGCCUUCGGGUUGUAAAGCCCUUUUGUUGGGAAAGAAAAGCAGCAGGUUAAUACCCCGCUGUUCUGACGGUACCCAAAGAAUAAGCACCGGCUAACUACGUG
rnacentral:rRNA from 1 species